rnacentral:rRNA from 1 species
AUUGAACGCUGGCGGCAUGCUUUACACAUGCAAGUCGAACGGUAACAGGCCGCAAGGUGCUGACGAGUGGCGAACGGGUGAGUAAUGCAUCGGAACGUGCCCAGUCGUGGGGGAUAACGCAGCGAAAGCUGUGCUAAUACCGCAUACGAACGAUGGAUGAAAGCGGGGGACAGUAAGGCCUCGAGCGAUUGGAGCGGCCGAUGUCCGAUUAGCUAGUUGGUGGGGUAAAGGACCACCAAGGCGACGAUCUGUAGCUGGUCUGAGAGGACGACCAGCCACACUGGGACUGAGACACGGCCCAGACUCCUACGGGAGGCAGCAGUGGGGAAUUUUGGACAAUGGGCGCAAGCCUGAUCCAGCAAUGCCGCGUGCAGGAAGAAGGCCUUCGGGUUGUAAACUGCUUUUGUACGGAACGAAACGGUCUGGGUUAAUACCUCGGGCUAAUGACGGUACCGUAAGAAUAAGCACCGGCUAACUACGUGCCAGCAGCCGCCGUAA